CCGAGUUUACAACUCCCAAACCCCUGUGAACUAUACCUUUACGUUGCCUCGGCGGCGUCCGCUUCGGCGGCCCGCCAGAGGACCCAAACUCUUGUAUUUGAAUUGAGUAUUCUCUGAGUACUAUACAAUAGUUA
rnacentral:misc_RNA from 1 species